GCCGUAGUAGCUCUACCGAUAAGAGCGCCUCGGUUUUGUAAGCCGAAUGUCGGAAGUUUAAAUCUUCCCUAGCGCU
rnacentral:tRNA from 1 species